AGAGUUUGAUCAUGGCUCAGAACGUACGCUGGCGGCACGCCUAACACAUGCAAGUCGAACGAAGUAGCAAUACUUAGUGGCAGACGGGUGAGUAACAUGUGGGUAUCUGCCCUUUGGCCUGGAAUAACACGAGGAAACUUGUGCUAAUACCGGAUAAGUCUUUACGGAGAAAGCUUUAUGCACCAUUGGAUGAGCCCGCACUUGAUUAGUUUGUUGGUGGGGUAAUGGCCUACCAAGACUGUGAUCAAUAGCUGAUUUGAGAGGAUGAUCAGCCACAUUGGGACUGAGACACGGCCCAAACUCCUACGGGAGGCAGCAGUGGGGAAUCUUGCACAAUGGAGGAAACUCUGAUGCAGCGAUGCCGCGUGAGUGAAGAAGGCCCUUGGGUUGUAAAGCUCUUUCGUCGGGGAAGAAAAUGACUGUACCCGAAUAAGAAGGUCCGGCUAACUUCGUGCCAGCAGCCGCGGUAAUACGAAGGGACCUAGCGUAGUUCGGAAUUACUGGGCUUAAAGAGUUCGUAGGUGGUUGAAAAAGUUAGUGGUGAAAUCCCAGAGCUUAACUCUGGAACUGCCAUUAAAACUUUUCAGCUAGAGUAUGAUAGAGGAAAGCAGAAUUUCUAGUGUAGAGGUGAAAUUCGUAGAUAUUAGAAAGAAUACCAAUUGCGAAGGCAGCUUUCUGGAUCAUUACUGACACUGAGGAACGAAAGCAUGGGUAGCGAAGAGGAUUAGAUACCCUCGUAGUCCAUGCCGUAAACGAUGUGUGUUAGACGUUGGAAAUUUAUUUUCAGUGUCGCAGCGAAAGCGAUAAACACACCGCCUGGGGAGUACGACCGCAAGGUUAAAACUCAAAUGAAUUGACGGGGACCCGCACAAGUAGUGGAGCAUGUGGUUUAAUUCGAAGAUACGCGCAGAACCUUACCAACACUUGACAUGUUCGUCGCGACUCUAAGAGAUUAGAGUUUUCGGUUCGGCCGGACGAAACACAGGUGCUGCAUGGCUGUCGUCAGCUCGUGUCGUGAGAUGUUGGGUUAAGUCCCGCAACGAGCGCAACCCUCACUUUUAGUUGCCAUCAUUAAGUUGGGCACUCUGAAAGAACUGCCAGUGAUAAGCUGGAGGAAGGUGGGGAUGACGUCAAGUCCUCAUGGCCCUUACGUGUUGGGCUACACACGUGCUACAAUGGUAUCUACAACAGGAAGCAAGACUGCGAGGUCAAGCAAAUCCUUAAAAGAUACCUCAGUUCGGAUUGCACUCUGCAACUCGAGUGCAUGAAGCUGGAAUUACUAGUAAUCGUGGAUCAGCGUGCCACGGUGAAUGCGUUCCCGGGUCUUGUACACACCGCCCGUCACACCAUGGGAGUUGGUUCUACCUUAAGGCAAGGUUUCAAACCCUUGACCACGGUAUAGUCAGCGACUGGGGUGAAGUCGUAACAAGGUAGCCGUAGGGGAACCUGCGGCUG
rnacentral:rRNA from 1 species